AGUACCGUGAGGGAAAGGCGAAAAGAACCCCUGUGAGGGGAGUGAAAUAGAACCUGAAACCGCAUACGUACAAGCAGUGAGAGCUAGAUUUAGUCUAGUGAUUGCGUACCUUUUGUAUAAUGGGUCAGCGACUUAUAUUCUGUAGCAAGGUUAACCGAAUAGGGGAGCCGUAGCGAAAGCGAGUGUUAACUGCGCGUUUAGUUGCAGGGUAUAGACCCGAAACCCGGCGAUCUACCCAUGGGCAGGUUGAAGGUUGAGUAACAUCAACUGGAGGACCGAACACACGUAUGUUGAAAAAUGCGGUGAUGACUUGUGGGUCGGAGUGAAAGGCUAAUCAAGCCGGGAGAUAGCUGGUUCUCCCCGAAAUCUAUUUAGGUAGAGCCUCGCACGAACACCAUUGGGGGUAGAGCACUGUUAAGGCUAGGGGGUCAUCCCGACUUACCAACCCUUUGCAAACUCCGAAUACCAAUGAGUGAUAUGCGGGAGACACACUACGGGUGCUAACGUCCGUUGUGAAGAGGGAAACAACCCAGACCGCCAGCUAAGGUCCCAAAGUACUAGUUAAGUGGGAAACGAUGUGGAAAGGCAUAGACAGCUAGGAGGUUGGCUUAGAAGCAGCCAUCCUUUAAAGAAAGCGUAAUAGCUCACUAGUCGAGUCGGUCUGCGCGGAAGAUGUAACGGGGCUAAACUAGUCACCGAAGCUGCGGAUUUGAACUUAGGUUCAAGUGGUAGGGGAGCGUUCUGUAAGCCGUUGAAGGUGUGUUGUAAAGCAUGCUGGAGGUAUCAGAAGUGCGAAUGCUGACAUGAGUAACGAUAAGGGGAGUGAAAAACUCCCCCGCCGAAAGACCAAGGUUUCCUGUCCCAUGUUAAUCAGGGCAGGGUAAGUCGGCCCCUAAGGCGAGGCGGAAACGCGUAGUCGAUGGGAAACAGAUUAAUAUUUCUGUACUUCUAUAUAUUGCGAAGGAGGGACGGAGUAGGCUAGGUGAGCACGGCGUUGGUAGUCCGUGUGAAAGAUUGUAGGCAGGUGACUUAGGUAAAUCCGGGUCGCUGUUAAUGCUGAGAGUCGAGACGAGUCUCUACGGAGAUGAAGUCAUUGAUGCCAUGCUUCCAGGAAAAGCUUCUAAGCUUCAGAUAUAUAGGAACCGUACCCCAAACCGACACAGGUGGUUAGGUAGAGAAUACUAAGGCGCUUGAGAGAACUCGGGUGAAGGAACUAGGCAAAAUAGUACCGUAACUUCGGGAGAAGGUACGCUCUCUAGUGUGAAGGACUUGCUCCGUAAGCACAUGAGAGUCGAAGUAACCAGGUGGCUGGAACUGUUUAUUAAAAACACAGCACUGUGCAAAAUCGAAAGAUGACGUAUACGGUGUGACGCCUGCCCGGUGCCGGAAGGUUAAUUGAUUGGGUUAGCUCUGCGAAGCUCAUGAUCGAAGCCCCGGUAAACGGCGGCCGUAACUAUAACGGUCCUAAGGUAGCGAAAUUCCUUGUCGGGUAAGUUCCGACCUGCACGAAUGGCGUAAUCAUGGCCACACUGUCUCCACCCGAGACUCAGUGAAAUUGAAAUUGCGGUUAAGAUGCCGUAUACCCGCGGCUAGACGGAAAGACCCCGUGAACCUUUACUAUAGCUUGACAGUGAACAUUGCUCCUACAUGUGUAGGAUAGGUGGGAGGCUUUGAAACCGCGUCGCUAGAUGCGGUGGAGCCAACCUUGAAAUACCACCCUUGUAUGCGUGAUGUUCUAACCUAGGGCCCUUAUCGGGCUUGGGGACACUGUCUGGUGGGUAGUUUGACUGGGGCGGUCUCCUCCCAAAGAGUAACGGAGGAGCACGAAGGUUGGCUAAGUACGGUCGGACAUCGUACGGUUAGUGCAAUGGCAUAAGCCAGCUUAACUGCGAGACAGACACGUCGAGCAGGUACGAAAGUAGGUCAUAGUGAUCCGGUGGUUCUGUAUGGAAGGGCCAUCGCUCAACGGAUAAAAGGUACUCCGGGGAUAACAGGCUGAUACCGCCCAAGAGUUCAUAUCGACGGCGGUGUUUGGCACCU
rnacentral:rRNA from 1 species